UUCCUUUCCACAGCUUUCUUGAACUU
rnacentral:miRNA from 1 species